rnacentral:rRNA from 1 species
AGAUUGAACGCUGGCGGCAGGCCUAACACAUGCAAGUCGAGCGGAUGACAGGAGCUUGCUCCUGAAUUCAGCGGCGGACGGGUGAGUAAUGCCUAGGAAUCUGCCUGGUAGUGGGGGACAACGUUUCGAAAGGAACGCUAAUACCGCAUACGUCCUACGGGAGAAAGCAGGGGACCUGAUCGGGCCUUGCGCUAUCAGAUGAGCCUAUGGUCGGAUUAGCUAGUUGGUGAGGUAAUGGCUCACCAAGGCGGGACGAUCCGUAACUGGUCUGAGAGGAUGAUCAGUCACACUGGAACUGAGACACGGUCCAGACUCCUACGGGAGGCAGCAGUGGGGAAUAUUGGACAAUGGGCGAAAGCCUGAUCCAGCCAUGCCGCGUGUGUGAAGAAGGUCUUACGGAUUGUAAAGCACUUUAAGUUGGGAGGAAGGGCAUUAACCUAAUACGUUAGUGUUUUGACGUUAAGCCGACAGAAUAAGCACCGGCUAAGCUCUGUGCCAGCAGCCGCGGUCAAUACAGAGGGUGGCCAAGCCGUUAAUCGGAAUUACUGGGCGUAAAGCGCGCGUAGGUGGUUUGUUAAGUUGGAUGUGAAAUCCCCGGGCUCAACAUCGCUGGGAACUGCAUUCAAAACUGACAAGCUAGAGUAUGGUAGAGGGUGGUGGAAUUUCCUGUGUAGCGGUGAAAUGCGUAGAUAUAGGAAGGAACACCAGUGGCGAAGGCGACCACCUGGACUGAUACUGACACUGAGGUGCGAAAGCGUGGGGAGCAAACAGGCAUUAGAUACCCUGGUAGUCCACGCCGUAAACGAUGUCAACUAGCCGUUGGGAGCCUUGAGCUCUUAGUGGCGC